rnacentral:misc_RNA from 1 species
UUCUUUCCAUUGCAGGAAUUUACUAAACAGAACAUAAGCAGAGAAUUAGCAGCUUCGUCUUCUUUUUAACACUCCGUAUUCAUUUGAGAUGACUAACUUAUAAAUAAUUAGAUUUUUUUCUUAAAUUCUUGUUUGUGUUGUCCCUUUCUUUUUUGAUCUUCUUCUCAUAAAAAAGUUACCUUUUUCUUUUUACCCAUUUGGAUCGGGUCCUUCUUUUGGCUCUACCAUAAAAACCCAACCAAAAUUUGUUGGCUUUCCAGUUUUGGGUUUUGCAUAGA